CGAGCGGACAGAAGGGAGCUUGCUCCCGGAUGUUAGCGGCGGACGGGUGAGUAACACGUGGGUAACCUGCCUGUAAGACUGGGAUAACUCCGGGAAACCGGAGCUAAUACCGGAUAGUUCCUUGAACCGCAUGGUUCAAGGAUGAAAGACGGUUUCGGCUGUCACUUACAGAUGGACCCGCGGCGCAUUAGCUAGUUGGUGAGGUAACGGCUCACCAAGGCGACGAUGCGUAGCCGACCUGAGAGGGUGAUCGGCCACACUGGGACUGAGACACGGCCCAGACUCCUACGGGAGGCAGCAGUAGGGAAUCUUCCGCAAUGGACGAAAGUCUGACGGAGCAACGCCGCGUGAGUGAUGAAGGUUUUCGGAUCGUAAAGCUCUGUUGUUAGGGAAGAACAAGUGCAAGAGUAACUGCUUGCACCUUGACGGUACCUAACCAGAAAGCCACGGCUAACUACGUGCCAGCAGCCGCGGUAAUACGUAGGUGGCAAGCGUUGUCCGGAAUUAUUGGGCGUAAAGGGCUCGCAGGCGGUUUCUUAAGUCUGAUGUGAAAGCCCCCGGCUCAACCGGGGAGGGUCAUUGGAAACUGGGAAACUUGAGUGCAGAAGAGGAGAGUGGAAUUCCACGUGUAGCGGUGAAAUGCGUAGAGAUGUGGAGGAACACCAGUGGCGAAGGCGACUCUCUGGUCUGUAACUGACGCUGAGGAGCGAAAGCGUGGGGAGCGAACAGGAUUAGAUACCCUGGUAGUCCACGCCGUAAACGAUGAGUGCUAAGUGUUAGGGGGUUUCCGCCCCUUAGUGCUGCAGCUAACGCCUUAAGCACUCCGCCCGGGGAGUACGGUCGCGAGACUGAUACUCACAGGAUUUAACAGAGGCCCGCACAACCCUUGGAGCAUGUGAUUUAUUUCAAACCCACGCGCAAACCUUACCAGGUCGUGGCGGCCUCUGACAACCCUAAGGAUAUGGCUUUCCUUCGCGCACGAGGAGACAAGUGACGCAGGGUUGUCGUCUCCC
rnacentral:rRNA from 1 species